rnacentral:rRNA from 1 species
UACGUAGGGGGCGAGCGUUGUCCGGAAUUACUGGGCGUAAAGGGCGUGUAGGCGGUCGGCUAAGUCAGGUGUGAAAGACCGGGGCUCAACUCCGGGGGUGCACUUGAAACUGGUCGACUUGAGGGCAAGAGAGGGAAGCGGAAUUCCCAGUGUAGCGGUGAAAUGCGUAGAUAUUGGGAGGAACACCAGUGGCGAAGGCGGCUUCCUGGCUUGGCCCUGACGCUGAGGCGCGAAAGCGUGGGGAGCAAACAGG